rnacentral:lncRNA from 1 species
GAGCUCAUUAAUGAAGGCAGUUGAAAAACUUAGGGAAAUGGACUUAUUAUAGCUUGUUACCCCCACAACAGCCCCCUCCCUCUAUAAAAAGAGAUAGAUGAGAGUACCAAGCCCCAUGCAAUUAAUGCAGCGAGUUGCAGUAACAAGAACAAUUCACAAGAAACUGAGAAAGAAAGAAAGAUGGAUGGAAGAGAAAACUGAGGAGAGGCAUUAAUGGAGAAGACAAGACCAAUAAAUUCUGAGAGAGAAGGGGGUAAGUGAAAUCAUUAAUUGCCUUCUUCCCCUCUUUGCUUUUAUCGCUGCAAUUGUCUCUGAGCUUUUGCUUCAUUGCUUUCACCCAUCUGCUCUCUUAUCUUCUUCUGCAGCAGCAACUCACUUCCCCAGAUGGCAUUUAUUGCCCUCUUUUUACUGUUUUUACAUUUUUGCAAUACUACUGAACUCAUCUCCAUGUGGAUUACCCUCUAAUGUUUAAUGUGUUCCUGUUAAUAGAUUCAAGUUACCAGUUAGUUUUGAUGAAAACCUUGCUCAAUUCCGUUUUCUAACUGGAAAUACCACAUUCUAACAGCAACCCACUUAGCAAGAUGAAAGCUUUCCUGGCAAAAUUGGAAGAGCAAAGUAAAAAGCACUAAUCUUGCUAACAACCCAUCAAACUAAACAGAAGCUUUAAAUCCAUCGUCAAUUGGAGACCACUCUGUUUCCAAAAUCAUGGGGGGUUAUUUCUGAAGUCUUUUUUCUUUUUUCGUUUGGUUUCACUCAUCUUACAACUGUAGCUUCUUGUUGAACUCGGAUGGACUCGGUUGACUCAGCUGCUGCUUAGACGACUCCGCCGUCUCUCUGUUGGGGACUUCAGGAGGAGGCGGUUGAGGUCUUGCUGCCGGUGGUGGGGAUGCACAGACUGGAAUCACUGACCUAAUAUGAACAGCAGGAGCCAUCAUCCUUGAAGGAUUAUUAUGGCUGAAAAACCCUCCGGCACCUGGUGUGUAAAUUGGCCUCCCCAUGUGCACAACUGAUUGCAGUGAUCCCAAAACCCUCCUGUCAGCAAACCCUUUAGUGGUAGUAGCCUGAUGUUCCUGUUUAUCAGCUUUAUCAAACAGUGACGCAAUCCUAUGACAACUGUAUUCUUUUUCUGCUGCUGAAAUUGAUGGCAGAAUCUUUGACGUGGUUCUUGGAGGCGGUGGAGGAAGGAGAUACAUGAAUGAUGGACACAACAAGUUCUUUCCUUUUUCAUCUCUAGUAGCUUUCAUGGCUGAUUCCAACAUCAGAUCCAGAAGCCUGCAUUGCUGCUGCACAUUUGAAGUAGAAGAAGAAGCUGAUGAUGAUGGUAAAGAUGGUCCCUUUACCGUUCUUCUCCUUGCCAUAGAAGAAUUGCUGUAAUCCCUCUUUCUAACAACAACCUGUUUUGUUGAGGAAGAGUCUUCUUUACUUCUCAAGUUGGAAAGCACCUUCGCCACAACUGCUUGCUCUUGGUCCUCCUUAUUCUCACCACAACUCCCUCCUCCAGGUUCUUUGUUUGUCAAUGAAUCUAAGCUUGGAGCUGAAAAGGGUACAAACAAAAGGAAAAAAGAACACUUCUUUACAGAACGAAGUAGGAAAAAG